CUCAAACUGAGGCACAACACCGUCCAGCAGCCAAGGAGCAGAACAGCAGCUCUACGAAGAGCAAGGGGAACCCCGUUCUUCCAAGCCCCUCAACAGCUUUGCUUCCAUCUGUGAGAACCACGCCAGGUGCCUAACUUAGCAAAGGGAGUGCCCCUCCCCGCCGACCUGUGCUGCUCCCAGACCGGGGAGUGGGAGCGGAGUCCGCCUUCUCUGAGGCCCAGGAAGGAGGAGAGUAGAAACAAAGCCAAGGUCCAGGAGUCACACCGAGAAGGCGGACAGGGACCCCUGGAACAACUGGAGCCGGGGUGGCAGAGAUGGCAGCCAAGAUGGAGGUGGCCUGGGUCCCCGAAACCCCGCACAGAGGACAGCGGCUCAGAAUGCCACUGAGCUGCAUUGGACAGUAAGGUUGCCUCAGCCUCCCCCAAGGACAAGGGCCAGAGUGCUGGACGCUUCCAUCCUGCCUACUGCAGCAAGAAUCACAGCAGCUCAGACGCCCAGACCUGAGCUGACCUGACUCACGGAGGCUACCCAGAGGCUACGCAGAAGCCACCAGGGGGUGGCACCAGAAAUACAGGAGUUGAACAGCCUUCAGGGCAAACUUCAGUUAGCGAGAGACAAAAAGUAGGAAGGCGCUGGCAGGGAAGGAGCUCUUAUCUCCUCUGGGUCUCCAGAGAAAUCUCGCUUGACCCCACCGCAGCUACCCCACAGCUCAGGAGCUCCGUCCAGUAUCUGCCUUUCGGUCCUCCCUGCCUCUCUUCCCUCCUCCCCCUCACUCUGGUGGCCCUGGGUGAAGCCACCCAAUAAAGCACCAGUGCAAAAGCUUGGCUGCAGGCUCUGUUUGCUGGGGAACUCAAGCUAAGACAAAGGGAAACAAGUAUUGUGGAUUCCUCUUAUGUGCCAAGCACAAUGACCCUUACCUGCAUUACCUCAUUUCAUCCCUACACAAGCUGACACAGCGAUGGUCAACUGGGUCUUACAGAGGAAAAACCUGAGGUAAGAAGAAACAAGGCAGCUAUUCACUGGCGGAGAUGAAAGGGAACGAUGAAAUGGAACAUUGGAACAGGCAAAGGGCACCAUGCCUCAACCUUACAUGUGCUCUUUUGGGGACCCCCUAAUUGUUGUGGUCCUUUGAGGAGCCCAUAGUUCCCUCAUCAGUCCCAUGCUGCAGAGGUUUGGGGCAGCGUCUGACCCAAGGAUGGGCUGUUGUGAGGGCUCCUCCAAAAGACAAUACAGAAUCAGGAGGGACUCCAGCAAAGGAGACAGAGCAAGACGUGGGAGAACUGGUUGGAAAGACUUGUGGGGAAGCAUUCGUGUGGUUCCUCCAAAACUGAGACGAGACGCCUCAGCCCCAGUGGCUCAGGCCCAGGGGGAGGCUGGGCGAGGGCAGGAGGGCAUCAACGAUGGAGAGUGCUGGCCCUGGAGCUGGGAGAGAAGAGUAGCCCAGGCACAGCCCAGCAGGGCUAGACUGCACCGCCCCUGAGCUGGGCAGCUGCCGGGAUCU